AUUGAACGCUGGCGGCAUGCCUUACACAUGCAAGUCGAACGGCAGCACGGGGCAACCUGGUGGCGAGUGGCGAACGGGUGAGUAAUGCAUCGGAACGUGCCAUUGAGUGGGGGAUAACGUAGCGAAAGUUGCGCUAAUACCGCAUAUUCUGUGAGCAGGAAAGCAGGGGACCGCAAGGCCUUGCGCUCUUUGAGCGGCCGAUGUCAGAUUAGCUAGUUGGUGAGGUAACGGCUUACCAAGGCGACGAUUGUAGCGGGUCUGAGAGGAUGAUCCGCCACACUGGAACUGAGACACGGUCCAGACUCCUACGGGAGGCAGCAGUGGGAAUUUUGGACAAUGGGCGC
rnacentral:rRNA from 1 species